AUUGAACGCUGGCGGCAGGCCUAACACAUGCAAGUCGAGCGGAUGACGGGAGCUUGCUCCUUGAUUCAGCGGCGGACGGGUGAGUAAUGCCUAGGAAUCUGCCUGGUAGUGGGGGACAACGUUUCGAAAGGAACGCUAAUACCGCAUACGUCCUACGGGAGAAAGCAGGGGACCUUCGGGCCUUGCGCUAUCAGAUGAGCCUAGGUCGGAUUAGCUAGUUGGUGGGGUAAUGGCUCACCAAGGCGACGAUCCGUAACUGGUCUGAGAGGAUGAUCAGUCGCACUGGAACUGAGACACGGUCCAGACUCCUACGGGAGGCAGCAGUGGGGAAUAUUGGACAAGGGGCGAAAGCCUGAUCCAGCCAUGCCGCGUGUGUGAAGAAGGUCUUCGGAUUGUAAAGCACUUUAAGUUGGGAGGAAGGGCAGUAAGUUAAUACCUAGAGAUAGUGGACGUUACUCGCAGAAUAAGCACCGGCUAACUCUGUGCCAGCCGCCGCCGUAA
rnacentral:rRNA from 1 species